CGCCUCUUGUUAAACAGAACAUAAGAGGUCCCGCCUGCCCUGUGACUAUAAGUUUAACGGCCGCGGUAUUUUGACCGUGCAAAGGUAGCGCAAUCACUUGUCUUUUAAAUGAAGACCCGUAUGAAUGGCACAACGAGGGCUUAACUGUCUCCUUUUUCCCGUCAAUGAAAUUGAUCUCCCCGUGCAGAAGCGGGGAUACGCCCAUAAGACGAGAAGACCCUAUGGAGCUUUAGGCUUCUGAACGACUAUGUUUAAGCCCCUAGCACAAAAGACAAAACUAAUUAGACCCCGUUCAAAUGCCUUUGGUUGGGGCGACCGCGGGGAAAUAAAAAACCCCCACGUGGACUAAGAACACAACUCCUCUUAAAACCAAGAACCACCACUCUAAGCAACAGAACUUCUGACCAAAAAUGAUCCGGCAAAGCCGAUCAACGGACCGAGUUACCCUAGGGAUAACAGCGCAAUCCCCUUCUAGAGCCCAUAUCGACAAGGGGGUUUACGACCUCGAUGUUGGAUCAGGACAUCCUAUUGGUGCAGCCGCUAUUAAGGGUUCGUUUGUUCAACGAUUAAAGUCCU
rnacentral:rRNA from 1 species